GGGCGUGUAGCUCAGAUGGGAGAGCGUCCCAAGUAGGUUGGUGAUGGUCCGAGGUUCGAGUCCUCGCAUGUCCG
rfam:Aspergillus glaucus CBS 516.65 unplaced genomic scaffold ASPGLscaffold_6, whole genome shotgun sequence.